rnacentral:rRNA from 1 species
UACAGAGGUCCCGAGCGUUGUUCGGAUUCAUUGGGCGUAAAGGGUGCGUAGGCGGCGGGGAAAGUCUGAUGUGAAAUCCUGGGGCUCAACCCUGGAACUGCAUUGGAUACUUCCUUGCUAGAGUACUGGAGAGGAAACUGGAAUUUACGGUGUAGCAGUGAAAUGCGUAGAGAUUGGGAAGAACACCAGUGGCGAAGGCGGCUAUCUGGACGGUUUCUGACGCUAAGACGCGAAAGCGUGGGGAGCAAACAGG